UCCAGCGAGACUAUUCAAGCCAUCGACUCACUGAUGAAUGAUGAUUACGUGCGAUCGGCAAAGGCAAACUGUCAUCUGCUGGCAUAACGGCACGACAUCAACAUCGCUCUAAUUACAGUAAGAAGACAGUUGAAGAAACUUGGGUGGACUUACAGAAAGGCUCGGCCCAGGCAUGGAUCAAAGCUGGUGAGACAUUUAAUAAUGUCAUCUUGACAUACGAAACAACCGUGGCCCUUGAGCAAUUUGCUCAAAAUUGCUACAAAAAAAGGAAGAAGAUCAAGGAAGCCGAGUCCCAAGCAUCCACUCAAACUCCAUGUGUGGGGGGCAAUUUCUUGCCAGGGACCAGGCCCAAAUUUGAUUUUUGAUGGAAUUAUGGCUCGAGAUUUCUUUGAGGAAGAAAUCAUCAAGAGAUAUUCUGGACCCUAUGUCAGACAGGUGUUUCUGGGAACACAUCGUUUUUUUCAAGACAAUGACCCAAAACACACUGCCAACCGGGUUUGCAUUGCAAAUUAGGGGAUAAACUGGGUCAAGACGCCAGCAGAGUAAGUAUACCUUUAUGUAGUAAAAUAAAGGUUAACUUGUUAUGGAUAGGGGGCAGUAUUUUCAUGGCCGGAUAAAAAAUGUACCUGAUUUAAUCUGGU
rnacentral:lncRNA from 1 species